rnacentral:rRNA from 1 species
AUUGAACGCUGGCGGCAGGCCUAACACAUGCAAGUCGAACGAGUGGCGGACGGGUGAGUAAUGUCUGGGAAACUGCCUGAUGGCGGGGGAUAACUACUGGAAACGGUAGCUAAUACCGCAUACCAUCGGAUGUGCCCCGAUGGGAUUAGCUCGUUGGUGGGGUAAUGGCUCACCUCGGCGACGAUCCCUAGCUGGUCUGAGAGGAUGACCCGCCACACGGGAACUGAGACACGGUCAAGACUCCUACGGGAGGCAGAAGUGGGGAAUAUUGCACAAUGGGCGCAAGCCUGAUGCAGCCAUGCCGCGUGUAUGAAGAAGGCCGUCGGGUUGUAAAGUACGGUCAGCGGGGAGGCGUUACCCGCAGAAGAAGCACCGGCUAACUCCGUGCCAGCCGCCGCGGUAAUUC